rnacentral:rRNA from 1 species
AGCGAACGCUGGCGGCAGGCCUAACACAUGCCAGUCGAACGAACCUUUCGGGGUUAGUGGCGGACGGGUGAGUAACACGUGGGAACGUGCCUUUAGGUUCGGAAUAACUCAGGGAAACUUGUGCUAAUACCGAAUGUGCCCUUCGGGGGCAAGAUUUAUCGCCUUUAGAGCGGCCCGCGUCUGAUUAGCUAGUUGGUUGAGGUAAUGGCUCACCAAGGCGACGAUCAGUAGCUGGUCUGAGAGGAUGAUCAGCCACAUUGGGACUGAGACACGGCCCAAACUCCUACGGGAGGCAGCAGUGGGGAAUCUUGCGCAAUGGGCGAAAGCCUGACGCAGCCAUGCCGCGUGAAUGAUGAAGGUCUUAGGAUUGUAAAAUUCUUUCACCGGGGACGAUAAUGACGGUACCCGGAGAAGAAGCCCCGGCUAACUUCGUG